AGGUAAGCUACUAAGAGCGAAUGGUGGAUGCCUUGACUGGUAAAGGCGAUGAAGGACGUACUAGACUGCGAUAAGCUACGGGGAGCUGUCAAGAAGCUUUGAUCCGUAGAUUUCCGAAUGGGGCAACCCAAUGUAUAGAGAUAUACAUUACCUAUAUAGGAGCGAACGAGGGGAAUUGAAACAUCUUAGUACCCUCAGGAAAAGAAAUCAAUAGAGAUUGCGUCAGUAGCGGCGAGCGAAAGCGCAAGAGGGCAAACCCAGUGCUUGCACUGGGGGUUGUAGGACUGCAAUGUGCAAGAGGUAAGUUUAGCAGAACAUUCUGGAAAGUAUAGCCAUAGAGGGUGAUAGUCCCGUAUGCGAAAAACAAACCUUAGCUAGCAGUAUCCUGAGUAGGGCGGGACACGAGGAAUCCUGUCUGAAUCCGGGUCGACCACGAUCCAACCCUAAAUACUAAUACCAGAUCGAUAGUGCACAAGUACCGUGAGGGAAAGGUGAAAAGAACUGAGGUGAUCAGAGUGAAAUAGAACCUGAAACCAUUUGCUUACAAUCAUUCAGAGCCCUAUGUAGCAAUACAGGGUGAUGGACUGCCUUUUGCAUAAUGAGCCUGCGAGUUGUGGUGUCUGGCAAGGUUAAGCAAACGCGAAGCCGUAGCGAAAGCGAGUCUGAAUAGGGCGCUUAGUCAGAUGCUGCAGACCCGAAACGAAGUGAUCUAUCCAUGAGCAAGUUGAAGCUAGUGUAAGAACUAGUGGAGGACUGAACCCAUAGGCGUUGAAAAGCCCCGGGAUGACUUGUGGAUAGGGGUGAAAGGCCAAUCAAACUUCGUGAUAGCUGGUUCUCUCCGAAAUAUAUUUAGGUAUAGCGUUGUGUCGUAAUAUAAGGGGGUAGAGCACUGAAUGGGCUAGGGCAUACACCAAUGUACCAAACCCUAUCAAACUCCGAAUACCUUAUAUGUAAUCACAGCAGUCAGGCGGCGAGUGAUAAAAUCCGUCGUCAAGAGGGAAACAACCCAGACUACCAGCUAAGGUCCCUAAAUCUUACUUAAGUGGAAAACGAUGUGAAGUUACUUAAACAACCAGGAGGUUGGCUUAGAAGCAGCCAUCCUUUAAAGAAAGCGUAAUAGCUCACUGGUCUAGUGAUUUUGCGCGGAAAAUAUAACGGGGCUAAAGUAAGUACCGAAGCUGUAGACUUAGUUUACUAAGUGGUAGGAGAGCGUUCUAUUUGCGUCGAAGGUAUACCGGUAAGGAGUGCUGGAGCGAAUAGAAGUGAGCAUGCAGGCAUGAGUAGCGAUAAUUAAUGUGAGAAUCAUUAACGCCGUAAACCCAAGGUUUCCUACGCGAUGCUCGUCAUCGUAGGGUUAGUCGGGUCCUAAGUCGAGUCCGAAAGGGGUAGACGAUGGCAAAUUGGUUAAUAUUCCAAUACCAACAUUAGUGUGCGAUGGAAGGACGCUUAGGGCUAAGGGGGCUAGCGGAUGGAAGUGCUAGUCUAAGGUCGUAGGAGGUUAUACAGGCAAAUCCGUAUAACAAUACUCCGAGAACUGAAAGGCUUUUUGAAGUCUUCGGAUGGAUAGAAGAACCCCUGAUGCCGUCGAGCCAAGAAAAGUUUCUAAGUUUAGCUAAUGUUGCCCGUACCGUAAACCGACACAGGUGGGUGGGAUGAGUAUUCUAAGGCGCGUGGAAGAACUCUCUUUAAGGAACUCUGCAAAAUAGCACCGUAUCUUCGGUAUAAGGUGUGGUUAGCUUCGUACUAGGAUUUACUCCGAAAGCGAAGAAACUUACAACAAAGAGUCCCUCCCGACUGUUUACCAAAAACACAGCACUCUGCUAACUCGUAAGAGGAUGUAUAGGGUGUGACGCCUGCCCGGUGCUCGAAGGUUAAUUGAUGGGGUUAGCAUUAGCGAAGCUCUUGAUCGAAGCCCGAGUAAACGGCGGCCGUAACUAUAACGGUCCUAAGGUAGCGAAAUUCCUUGUCGGUUAAAUACCGACCUGCAUGAAUGGCGUAACGAGAUGGGAGCUGUCUCAAAGAGGGAUCCAGUGAAAUUGUAGUGGAGGUGAAAAUUCCUCCUACCCGCGGCAAGACGGAAAGACCCCGUGGACCUUUACUACAGCUUGACACUGCUACUUGGAUAAGAAUGUGCAGGAUAGGUGGGAGGCUUUGAGUAUAUGACGCCAGUUGUAUAUGAGCCAUUGUUGAGAUACCACUCUUUCUUAUUUGGGUAGCUAACCAGCUUGAGUUAUCCUCAAGUGGGACAAUGUCUGGUGGGUAGUUUGACUGGGGCGGUCGCCUCCCAAAUAAUAACGGAGGCUUACAAAGGUUGGCU
rnacentral:rRNA from 1 species